rnacentral:rRNA from 1 species
AUGAUAUGGAAAGCUUGGGCUCCCCCAAAGGUCAAGUUCUUUGCUUGGUUGGCUCUACAAGAUAGAGUUUGGCUCUACAAUUCUUUGCUAGUGGUCGCGUCCUACUCGGUUGAGGCUUGGUGGGCAAGUACCUGCGACAAAGACACGCCAAACCGCCAAGCUAAGGCGUCCCUAGCCAUGCUUGUUUCAUGGACUAUUUGGAACGAGCGAAACGCAAGAGUCUUCAAGCACAAGAGCGCACCGCCGACUAUAUUGCUUGCCUCCAUCGAGACCGAGGCCAACCUUUGGGUCAUCGCCGGUGCAAAGAAAUUAUGGUCUAUUAUUUUGCGAGAGUAA